CCUACGGGUGGCAGCAGUAGGGAAUAUUGCUCAAUGGGGGAAACCCUGAAGCAGCAACGCCGCGUGGAGGAUGAAGGUUUUAGGAUUGUAAACUCCUUUUGUGAGAGAAGAUAAUGACGGUAUCUAACGAAUAAGCACCGGCUAACUCCGUGCCAGCAGCCGCGGUAGUACGGAGGGUGCAAGCGUUACUCGGAAUCACUGGGCGUAAAGAGUGCUCAGGCGGGUUUGUAAGUCAGAUGUGAAAUCCUGUGGCUUAACUACAGAACUGCAUUUGAAACUGUGGGUCUAGAGUGUGGGAGAGGUAGGUGGAAUUCUUGGUGUAGGGGUAAAAUGCGUAGAUAUCAAGAGGAAUACUCAUUGCGAAGGCGACCUACUGGAACAUUACUGACGCUCAUGCACGAAAGCGUGGGGAGCAAACAGGAUUAGAUACCCUGGUAGUC
rnacentral:rRNA from 1 species